GAUGAACGCUGGCGGCGUGCCUAAUACAUGCAAGUCGAGCGAACGGACGAGAAGCUUGCUUCUCUGAUGUUAGCGGCGGACGGGUGAGUAACACGUGGAUAACCUACCUAUAAGACUGGGAUAACUUCGGGAAACCGGAGCUAAUACCGGAUGAUAUUUUGAACCGCAUGGUUCAAAAGUGAAAGACGGUCUUGCUGUCACUUAUAGAUGGAUCCGCGCUGCAUUAGCUAGUUGGUAAGGUAACGGCUUACCAAGGCAACGAUGCAUAGCCGACCUGAGAGGGUGAUCGGCCACACUGGAACUGGAACACGGUCCAGACGCCUACGGGAGGCAGCAGUAGGGAAUCUUCCGCAAUGGGCGAAAGCCUGACGGAGCAACGCCGCGUGAGUGAUGAAGGUCUUCGGAUCGUAAAACUCUGUUAUUAGGGAAGAACAUAUGUGUAAGUAACUGUGCACAGCUUGACGGUACCUAAUCAGAAAGCCACGGCUAACUACGUG
rnacentral:rRNA from 1 species